rnacentral:rRNA from 1 species
GAUGAACGCUGGCGGCGUGCCUAAUACAUGCAAGUCGAACGCACAGCGAAAGGUGCUUGCACCUUUCAAGUGAGUGGCGAACGGGCGAGUAACACGUGGACAACCUGCCUCAAGGCUGGGGAUAACAUUUGGAAACAGAUGCUAAUACCGAAUAAAACUCAGUGCCGCAUGACACAAAGUUAAAAGGCGCUUUGGCGUCACCUAGAGAUGGAUCCGCGGUG